rnacentral:rRNA from 1 species
UACGUAGGGAGCAAGCGUUGUCCGGAAUUAUUGGGCGUAAAGAGCGCGUAGGCGGCCCGAUUAGUCCGCUGUGAAAGUCCAGGGCUCAACCCUGGAAUGCCGGUGGAUACUGUCGGGCUAGAGUCCGGAAGGGGCGAGUGGAAUUCCUGGUGUAGCGGUGAAAUGCGCAGAUAUCAGGGGGAACACCAGUGGCGAAGGCGGCUUUCUGGUCUGUAACUGACGCUGAGGCGCGAAAGCGUGGGGAGCAAACAGG